UACGGAGGGUGCUAGCGUUGUUCGGAAUUACUGGGCGUAAAGCGCGCGCAGGCGGCUAUCCAAGUCAGUGGUGAAAGCCCGGAGCUCAACUCCGGAACUGCCAUUGAAACUGUUUAGCUUGAGGAUGAGAGAGGUGAGUGGAAUUCCCAGUGUAGAGGUGAAAUUCGUAGAUAUUGGGAAGAACACCGGUGGCGAAGGCGGCUCACUGGCUCAUUACUGACGCUCAGACGCGAUAGCGUGGGGAUCAAAUAGG
rnacentral:rRNA from 1 species